rnacentral:rRNA from 1 species
AUUCUUCGGAUGACGGAUCAGAUGGAAAGCGGCGGACGGGUGAGUAACGCGUAGGUAACCUGCCCCAUACAGAGGGAUAGCCACUGGAAACGGUGAUUAAUACCUCAUGACACUUUUCUUUCGCAUGGGAGAGAAGUCAAAGAUUUAUCGGUAUGGGAUGGACCUGCGUCUGAUUAGCUGGUUGGUGGGGUAACGGCCUACCAAGGCGACGAUCAGUAGCCGACCUGAGAGGGUGAUCGGCCACAUUGGAACUGAGACACGGUCCAAACUCC